AGCAACAGCUUGGCAUUGAACUCAUGAUAUUAUGAUCAGUAGUCCAAUGUCUUAACCACUGAUGUACCACUGCCCAAUUAAUGCUUUUCAUUUUUCUAUAAAAACAUACAGACUACAUAACUAUGUAUUUUGCUUUUAGCACUAUAUGGAGCCAGGGUUUUCAUUAUAUUUUUUUACUCAACUGUGGCGUAAACGGGCUUCCAUACAUAAUACCUGAUACUGUAACGUUUCCAAGUGGAGUGCAAUUCACACACAUACUGUAUGUUAUUAUUUUUUCGUAAAUAAUAAAAUUAGCCAUGUUUGCUAAUAGCGGGACAACAUUACGCUAACUGCUGUGGGUAAAUAAUAAAACCAGCCGUGUUUGACAUUAAGUAUGUUUUUAUUUAUUUUUUUAUUUUUAUUUUUUAUUUUUUUGUAUGGGCCGUCUCACCGUGUCAAGUACUUUCAUGACACCGGAAGUGAUUCGACACCCAUUUCCGCACCCAUUGGCCCUGGUGGCCUUCCAUAACAUUCACACGUAAAGUAAAAGUAAAAACGCAAUAGAAAACUUCUUUAUUAGAGUUCAUGUCGCGUAGGAGGAAAAUAAUCCGUGCUGCAGCCAAAAAGUAGCUUCGACCGAGGUUUUAUUAUGGACCGUCUACCUCUGCGGUAUUAGCAGCUAGUUGUAUAGAUUAAAAAUAGUUCUCUUAGCCAUUUAGUUCAUCUUCCUUGUGUUUUGGUUUAUUUACUCAUCUAAUAAAUUAAGCUUUUGCCUUUUAUUGUGGUCAAAAUCGGUCGGCAGAUAGUGAGAUCAAACUGAUUUUGUCAGCAUUCAAGCUAGACAAAGCGCCGGUUUACGUUAAUUGCGUAGAGAAGAGUGCUAUUUGCUCACCACGAAUCUAGCGGUGAGUUAGCUGACCUAGUUAAUAAAGCAGCUGAUUUCAGUAUUGUGUAGCCUGGGUCGGUUAUAUAAAGCAUUACAAAUUCAUAUAGUGUGUUAAUAUACUAAACCGAAAUAAUUGAUUGCAUGCAGUUAUAACGCUGAUUACUUGUACUAACGCUAUAAGACGUGCAGGAAGACUAAAUGGACGGAGCUCCAGUGGCGCAAUCGGUUAGCGCGCGGUACUUAUACAGCAGUACAAUGCAGAGCAAUGCCGAGGUUGUGAGUUCGAGCCUCACCUGGAGCACAGCUUUUGGAAACCGAAUUGCUUGUUUUUUGAGUUAUUUCUGUUUGUUGGAUCUUACAUGAUGCAGUAAUGACUUCAAAUAUCCUAUUACCCCACAGGACUGGUGGAGGCCAGGAUACAAUUAACAUGAGAUCAGUGGAAAGCAAUGUCUGUGCCGAGAAAGGAGCUGCAUUGAGCAGAACAAACAUUAACACACUGGAGCUGGUAUGUUCUGGUUCUUUGAUGUCUCCCUCUCAUAAAUCUCCUAAAAUGAACAACUAGAAUAGUGGGAAACAGUUUGCAUAAGUGUUAAGAUCUGCUCAUAAAUGUAUAGUCUGGUGGAAUUUUUUCACAAUGCUUUAGCGUUUCGAUACCUGCUAACGGAGCCAUUUCAGUGCAUCAAGGUCAUUGUGCUUUGUGCCUGCAAAUCAACCACAGUUCUCCACACAGACCGACAGAUAGAUGGAUUAAUAAUUACACACAUAUUGUAUACACUUCACUGAUCCUGUGAGUGAAACUGUCAUUACAGCAGCCAAACAAAGCACACAUGUAAGUAAUAACUAAUUAUUUUCAAACCCCAGUAUUGCUUACCGCAGACAUUUUUUAUGACUAAGUGGUUAAAAAACAAAACAAAACAAAACAAAACAAAAAAAAAACAUGCAUUCAUUCAUCUUUAGUAACUGCUUUAUUCUGAUCAGGGUUGUGGUGGAUCCAGAGCCUAUCCCAGGAACACUGGGUGCAGGGAGUUAUUGGGUGGCGUCAUUCCUGUUUGCUGGAUCAUAAAUGAAGUGCAUAGACAAUCCACUCACCAGCAUGUUGUUGAGAAGUUGGAGGAAACUGGAGAAACAGGAGGAAACCCACAUGGACAGAGGGACAACAGACAGUAACCAAAUCUCAAGAUUGAGCUAGGACCCUGGAACUGUGAGGUGGCAACAAAAAUAUAAUACAAAAUAUCCGAUAUAUUCCACAGUUCUCAAAAACUGUAAUGUGAUUACAUUCUCUUCAGAUAUAAUUCAUUAGUUUAUUUGUGCUGACAUACAGAGUGACAGUAAUUAAGUAGGCUGUUACCCCUGUUACCCCUACUCAUGGACUUAAAUAUAGUACACUUAAGACAUUUUUUGUGAAAUCAGUGCUUUGCCCAUACAUGCCCUCUGUCAAUGGCAAGUCAGCAGCAUCCACCAUCACUGUGUUCUGUCAGCACUUGUGGUGUUUCAAGAGACCAUAUGCUUAGUUGACUUUGGAACACGGACAAGACCAAACACACAAUCAUCACUACAAUGCAUUUCCCUUAGCCAGACAUUCCAGUAAAGUUUCUUGUACAUUAAAUUUUCGUUUUUGCAGUUUUCUCAUUUCUUGUUCUUUGUAUUUAAUCACUUGUCUAAGGCAAAUGCAAGUGUAAGUACCAUUACAUCAAUAACUGUGAAAUGUGAAAGUCAUUCUGGAGGAUACAAUGUGAAUUUUACACUGUGAGUAGUAAGUCCUGCUGCCUUAUCACUCUUUCCAUGUGUUUUACAGUAGUUGCCAUGUCACCAAGAGGAAAAUAAAUCACUCAUUGGCAAGCUGUAUUUAGUCCUUGUUAAUAACAUAAACAUGAUGGUGUGAGCAAAGGCAUCUUGAGAUUAGUCUUCUUCCAUGACAGUUUUUUCAUGACACAAAUUUUAGAUGAAAAGCUAAACUUCAAAUCGAAGAUAUUUUUUAAUGGGGCAAGCUAUAAAAAAAUUACAAACCCUCAUCAUAUUACACAUUUUAAUAAAGAAACUAAUUUUCAGAUAGGCAUCCCAACCAGCAUGUGUUACUGCCUCUCACCUACUGUUCCUGGGAUAGGCUCCAGAUCCACCAAAAUGGUUACCUGAAGAUGAAUUAAUGAUUUAAUGAAUAAAAUUAUUAUUGAUUUUGUAAGCAGAUAAGUUAGAAAGCUUCAAUCAACUGAAUGGAGAGAAGGCUAGUUUUGCUUUAUUUUUAAGUGUACAGGUUUUUGUUCUUUGUCUUUUCUUAUGCUUUCUUUUAUUAUUUCAAACAUAACAGUGAAAAGAAAUAUAAACCUGUUGAAUUUUGUGAAUCCACACAGCCAAAUCUCUGAAUGUAUAGUAUAGGCUAGUUUUUGUUACAGAUGUCAGUAACUUGACAACCUGCAUUCUUAGUCUCCUUUGUAAAUCUCAUUUCUGGACAACUAAUGACAGAGCGCUGAGUCUUGGCUUAUAAUUCUCAUGUGUCUCUGCCUAGCUGUCUUUGCCCCGUUGUAAGUUGCGACAGUUUAUUGAUUCGGUUGCCCUCAGGUAGCAUUCCUUAUGCUAGAAGAUAUGAUUAUUAUCAUUGUUACUGUUUUUCUCUCAGUGCUCCAGACAGAUUGAUUAUGAAAUGCCCCAAAAGAACAUGAUGUCAUGACACUUGGCAUGAGGGACAACAGAUCUGAGGAGAAGUGUUGUCAAAAGUUGCCUUUUAAUGAAUUGUGUUUUAUUGGUCUCAAAAUGUUUGCUAUAGGCAAUACUGGAGUCUGAAAAUAGUUUAUGUGGGUAUAUCUGCACAUUCACCUUUGUUGUUGUUGUUAUUGUUGUUGUUGUUAUUGUUGCUGUUGUUUUAGACAUAUUGCAGUAUUUGCCACUAAUGUAGUUUUGGCCCGUACUACAUAAGUACAUUGUGUGUUUCACUCUACACAUGAAGUAUGCUUGAGUUACUGGAAUCAAGUGAAACCAUUUGGAAGAAAGGUUUCAAGCUUGUACUAACUGGCAGAAGGAAAGUGUGGGAAGAGUAAGUGAAUUAUACAGGGGGAGGCUGGAUUUCCGAAGCUUUCUGAGUUCCUACACUCAACACAGAAAUCUCUUUAGCCUAAUUAAUUAUUACUCUUAACUCGCUGCUCCUGUGCCAAUCCUUUGACAGUCCUGCUUAAAUCAACAACAGACACACCUACAGUUACUGGAUCAGUAUUCUGUGCCUUGUAAAUCUGCAAUGUUAAAGCUCAGGAUUGAAGACUUGUUAUUUCUUCAGUAUCUUGACAUUUCUCUAUAUGCAUAUAUCUUUAUUUUUCAAAGAGCUUUCAUUCAGAAUUCAUUAUGAAUAAAUAUGUUCCCAGGCAUUUUCAUGUGGUACUUCAGUAUGUGAGUUAGCUUUCUGAAACUCUGGAAUUAUAGGGUAAAUAACUGCAGAUGAGAAGCUCAUUUCCUUCCCAGAGAAUUAUGCAUUCAGUCAUUCAUCCUGAGCAUCUCAGCACGGGUGGUUCUUUUAAAAAGUGCCUCCCUUAAGUUCCCGUGUAAGACUUCCUGGAAUGUUUUUCCCCCUGCAGCUUUUCAGAGCCUUUUAUCAGCAUAAACCCUGCUUUGCAUUUCUUUCUUUUUUUAUCUGACAGGCCAUAGACACAUUAUGCACAGUCCUUUCUUUUCUAUUCUGGCUUUAGCAAUUGAACAGGACACCGCAAUACCACAUCCUCUGGACUCAUUGCCCACAUCCAGAUAACAUGAAUAAUGGAUUCUCAGUGAAAGUAUCCCAUUUGAUUUAUGUGUGUUCAAAGAGCCAGAUAGUGGGAAAGUGUUCAGAUGGUGGUCCAAUAAUCUUACUUGUGGAGGACCUUUCUGUGCAAAGAUGCCUAAGCUCAUCUCAGCUAGGCUGUUUUUGAAUGAUGAUCUGAACAAUAGAGCCAGAAGAUAUAAACAUACAAAAUAAAAUAGACAUAAUAAUUUUAUGCGCAUAUAAUAAUAAUAAUAAAAAGAUUAAAAUUUUCACAGGUGCAGUUGCCUUCAAACAGAUUGUACACUCUAUUUAUAUUCAUCUCUGCAUUCACUUUUUCUUCCACAUUAGUUCAAUAUUAGUCCAAUUAUUCAGUUUCAUUUUCCACAUUCAUUAACUGGUGCUACUGCGAUGGUGGUAUUGAGUUUUGUGUAGAGCUCUUUACCUACAGGGUUGCCUCAUCAUACAAGGUGGUUUGGAUCUUUUCUGUGGCUACAUAUUAUUAUUUUCUGUGGCUACAUAAACGGUCAAUGUGGCCUCAAAAUUGCAAAUUCAAGCCAUUACAAAUAAUUGAAUGAAUGGUCAAGGUUAGGGCUAGAGCUUGGGUUACUAUUAAUGGCUAUAUGGGCAACUUGUUUGCAAUCAAUCCAACUAAAUCAAUCUUGCUUAUUAGAAAUCAGAUUGUAAGAUGAGGACUUCUGCUGCCUGGGAAAAAGCCAAUGUCACCACACUGUUCCAAGAAAUUUGACAGAAUAUCUUUCAACUGUAUGCCAGUUAAAAUAACCAAUAUUUUUUCAUGCUCAAUCCAUACAGGAUUUUGCAGAGUUUAUUUAUUUUUUGUGAUUGUUGAAGCUAAAAAUGGUUGAUUUUUCUGCAGCUUUUGUUAUAAAAUUUGCCAUGAGUGUUUUGUGUUUUGUUUUUACAGAAAAGCACUUGAUUUUUGAAAUUGCAAUUGCACUAAAUAGUUUUACAUGGUCUUUCUCAGUGAUGUUUGUUGGUAAAUGAGACCUUUUAUCUGUACUCAUGUUCGACACGUGGAGCUUUGCCUGAAUGCGUGUUGUGGUGAUGCCACAUGAUGCGUCUUGGCCCAAAUCUGGGGGAAAAUCUGCAGUAAUUUAGAAAAAUGGCAAGCUCCUCAGAAUAUUAUGGCAUUUGCUUGAAUUUGUGUUCAUUUCUGUGAUCACAAAAAUGCAAAACCCUGAAGGGAAUGCAUACUGGAGAAGCGCAAUGCAGUCCUAUUUUGCACUACUUUUGUAUUUCUGUCCAGAGACAUAUGUGUUGUACAGUCAACUCUUCGUGAUCAUGAGCCAAACUUGAUUGCCUAAUAUAUGCUUUGGAUUUCCCAUUAAAAAAUACUUGCCUUUCUCCAAAUUAACUUUAUAUAAAUUUCUCUUAGAGUUAAAAUUAUUGACACCCCAAGAGAAUAUUUAGAAUAAAUGCAGUUGUAAUUCUUUUAUAUUUUACAAAUUGACCUUGGUCAUACAUACUUGUUGUGGUUGACCAUAUAUAUAAGGUUGCACACACAAAAUACUUUUGUAAUUCAUUCAGUGGAGAAAUCCCCAUUGCUGUUAAAACAAAAGGCGAGUUGUUGUUGACCAGCAGAGGUCCAGUAGUAGAUCCUUGAUGAGAACAUUUUAAAGUCUGAAACAACUAAAUUGCUCAGCAGAGGAAGACAUGAGUGUAUUGCUCACUUGGACAGUAAGCGACGCUAUGUGUCUUGGCUGAAUUACCACCUCUGGGUGUGCAUUACUUUCUAAUAAUUCAAUGUCCAACAUCAGUUAUUCCUUACAUAUAAAAGUUGGAUCACGGAUUAGAUCACUGAGUGUCAAAUGAUAUGGUGGACAACUAUCUACAUUUGAACAAUUCAUCCUAGAGUUUUUGCUACUGAUCAUUGUUUCAUUAUAUGCCUACACAGACAUGUCCGUUCAGUCGUUAAUCCUUUCAUUCACCCUACAAUUUAUUACCCAGAUUUUUACAAUUGUUUCAGUAAAAAUAUUUUAGCGAGUUUCCACAAGUCAAGCAUAAUCUAUUUACCAUGUUGCAUUAUUAAUGGUGUUCUAAAGGAAAAAUAAAAAGCAUGAAUGGCCCAUUCAGUCUUUUCAUUUAUGCCUUUACUUAGUGGGGUAAUGAGCCAACUGCAUGUGAUUUUGACAGUGGCUAAAGUUGGCCCCCUCUAGACUGUUUACUCUGUGCCAGGCCCUAAUCCCUCCAAAGCAAGGCGUCUGACAUCAUUCCUUCCAGACACUGUGGCUUGUUAUUGCUGCCAUUCCAGGACUUCGUGCUAUAACUGAGCAAACAUUUCAUGGGACUUCACAGGGGCUGUCAUUCCAGCAACAGAGCAUCGUAGGGGUUCAACACACUAGCACGCUUCAGACUGGGGGGCCUACAGACUUACGUUAAUUACAUAGCACAGAGAUCAGCCGCAUUAGCACCCCUACUGAAGCUAUCAUUUAUAGACUUAGUAGCUUAUGAACUAUAAAUCUGCUCGUCAUAGGGAACCUGUUGAAUUACCAACAACCACAAAAUAUAUCUGAAGUGUUUAUGCUAUUUAUAUGACUUAAACAUACAUAAACAGUAAGUAAAUAUUUGUUCAGGAGCGGCUGGUCCUAUUCUCGCAAUUAAAGAGACAGUGUACCCCAGAAUAAUGUCACUAAUACUAAUUGAUUAAGAUUCACUUUAUUUGUCCAUAUAUAGAAACUCAGAGUGAAGGAUGUAGGUGUUCUGCUGGAAAUUAUCAGAAAGGAUGGCUGUAAGUCAGUGUAACAUGAACAUUGCUUAGUAAUGCAGAAAAGAUGUGUUCCAUCUCCUAAAAGCUGGACUAAUGUUGUCUCUUCCCCUUGGUUCCCAGACCUCAUGGCCAAAAUUAACAGCAUGCUUGAUAUAGGCUGAUUUCUCUCCCUUCUAUCAAAUUAUGUUGUUCAAGUAUACAUUUACUCGGAUACCAUUACUGUACAGCUCCCAAGCCAUUUCUUGAGGGUCACCUUUGUAUCCCUAGAGCUUACACAUGUUCUUUGCCAUUGCAUAUCCAUAUCUCUGGCUCUUGAGCAUUUAGUGUCACUCAGGGUACCCCUCUUGGACACAUGCAUUUUCUCCAAAAUCAACAUGUCCCUCAGCCCAUUGUGCUGCAGCUUUGGUGCAAGGCUGACUGUUAGUUCGUUACCAAUGAGUGGUUUGGAUAGUGUUUUAUCCGGGUUAAUCCCAGUAAGCGAGACUAGACUAUACCAACAUGCACUUCUAAAGAAGAACCUCUCAUGACACAUGGUUCAACACAAACACAUAUCUACUCCUGCGCACUAUGCUGAUUUUUUUUUCUUACUAUAAAACUCAGCAGAUGUUUGCACUUAAAAUGCAAAGAAACACCAUUUAGAUAUGGAGUAUCAGAAUUAUUUGAAAAUAUCUGAAAGAAUGUGAUUCACAGCUUACGGCAAUCUAGCCUGGUUCUAGGGCAAUCAAAAUUAAAAACUGAUUGAACAUGGUUACAAUUAAUUUAAAUCAGUGUUUAGGUUGAAGGAGAAUCCCCAGCUGGUUCAAAAGUCUUAACUUUUACUGUAAAUGUUUAGACAUAUUGGGCCUCUUUUCAGUUCUGUAUGUGUAUUUGCUUUGGAAGUCCUUCCCCCAACAUGUUAACAUUCAAAAGCUUCAGCCUCACUUAUAGCUUUAUAGGG